GGGCAGCCACCCCUGAGGUUAUGGUGUUGGGCUUGUCCGUGUGAGAAGCACCAAGGGACACAGAGGGGUUGGAGGGAUCCCACAAACCCCUCCAGGUCCUCUGAAAAGCAGGAUUUGAUAUCUCCAGGUGUCAACAUUGCUGCUCUUUCUCACUCUCCAAACCCACUAGCUGUCCUGCCUUUAUUAGGGAAGUGUGGGUUUAAUUACGUGUCUUUAUGCCCAUUUUUCAGGCCGUGGUUGACAAAUCAUCGUGUGUGGCUGACCCAGCCAAGCUCCACCUCUCUCCAUCGCUGUGUUUUCCAUGGGAGCACAUCUGUUCUGGCUGCUCCACCUAUUUUUGAAGGCCAGCAGAGCUUGGAAUGUCCCCUGAGGUUUGCCUGGAGUGCAGGUGCUGCAGGAAUUUUGCUUCCACAAAGCUCAAGCAGAGCAGGAGACAAAAAGGAGUGGUUUUGGGUGAGAUCUGUGCCCUGAACAAAGGAUCCACUGGAGGCUGCUGAGGUCAGUGGUGGGGCUUU
rnacentral:lncRNA from 1 species